AACGAACGCUGGCGGCAGGCUUAACACAUGCAAGUCGAGCGCCCCGCAAGGGGAGCGGCAGACGGGUGAGUAACGCGUGGGAAUCUACCCUUUUCUACGGAAUAACGCAUGGAAACGUGUGCUAAUACCGUAUGAGCCCUUCGGGGGAAAGAUUUAUCGGGAAAGGAUGAGCCCGCGUUGGAUUAGCUAGUUGGUGGGGUAAAGGCCUACCAAGGCGACGAUCCAUAGCUGGUCUGAGAGGAUGAUCAGCCACAUUGGGACUGAGACACGGCCCAAACUCCUACGGGAGGCAGCAGUGGGGAAUAUUGGACAAUGGGCGCAAGCCUGAUCCAGCCAUGCCGCGUGAGUGAUGAAGGCCCUAGGGUUGUAAAGCUCUUUCACCGGUGAAGAUAAUGACGGUAACCGGAGAAGAAGCCCCGGCUAACUUCGUGCCAGCCGCCGCGGUAAGAC
rnacentral:rRNA from 1 species